CCUACGGGGGGCAGCAGUGGGGAAUAUUGGACAAUGGGCGAAAGCCUGAUCCAGCCAUGCCGCGUGUGUGAAGAAGGCCUUCGGGUUGUAAAGCACUUUCAGUGGGGAAGAAAGCCUUGGGGCUAAUACCCUCGAGGAAGGACAUCACCAACAGAAGAAGCACCGGCUAACUCCGUGCCAGCAGCCGCGGUAAUACGGAGGGUGCGAGCGUUAAUCGGAAUUACUGGGCGUAAAGCGCGCGUAGGCGGUCUGAUAAGCCGGUUGUGAAAGCCCCGGGCUCAACCUGGGAACGGCAUCCGGAACUGUCAGGCUAGAGUGCAGGAGAGGAAGGUAGAAUUCCCGGUGUAGCGGUGAAAUGCGUAGAGAUCGGGAGGAAUACCAGUGGCGAAGGCGGCCUUCUGGACUGACACUGACGCUGAGGUGCGAAAGCGUGGGUAGCAAACAGGAUUAGAUACCCCAGUAGUC
rnacentral:rRNA from 1 species